UACGUAGGGUGCAAGCGUUAAUCGGAAUUACUGGGCGUAAAGCGUGCGCAGGCGGUUAUGUAAGACAGUUGUGAAAUCCCCGGGCUCAACCUGGGAACUGCAUCUGUGACUGCAUAGCUAGAGUACGGUAGAGGGGGAUGGAAUUCCGCGUGUAGCAGUGAAAUGCGUAGAUAUGCGGAGGAACACCGAUAGCGAAGGCAAUCCCCUGGACCAGUACUGACGCUCAUGCACGAAAGCGUGGGGAGCAAACAGGAUUAGAUACCCUGGUAGUCCACGCCCUAAACGAUGCCAACUGGUUGUUGGGAAUUCACUUUCUCAGUAACGAAGCUAACGCGUGAAGUUGACCGCCUGGGGAGUACGGCCGCAAGGUUGAAACUCAAA
rnacentral:rRNA from 1 species